rnacentral:misc_RNA from 1 species
GAUGAAGAACGCAGCGAAAUGCGAUAAGUAAUGUGAAUUGCAGAAUCUAGUGAAUCAUCGAAUCUUUGAACGCAUAUUGCGCCCGCCAGCACUCUGGCGGGCAUGCCUGUUCGAGCGUCAUUUCAACCCUCAGGCCUCGCGUCUGGCGUUGGGGCGCUGCGGCCCUCCCGCAGGCCCCCAAAUUUAGCGGCGGAUUCCCCGCGGCCCUGAGCGCAGUAGAGAGUAAAAACUUUAACGCUCCGGCGGCCGUGGCGCGGUUCUGCCUCUUUCCCAAUAGCGCCAAUAGCGCCACCCCCAAAAAAGUUGACCUCGGAUCAGGUAGGACUACCCGCUGAACUUAAGCAUAUCAAUAAGCGGAGGA